UCUUGACCUCAGCCCUCAGCCCUGUUUUGUAACUGCCUGUUUACUUGUUUUUCUUCCUUAGAGGGCCAGGCCCUAAAAGCCUAGGAUGAUGGCAAAUUUCUUGCUGUAUCUCCAACUUUCAUCAUGGAUCUUAGAAUACAGUGGCCUUCAAGUAAGUGUUCAUGAGGCGAAUAAAUGAGAAAGAGAAAGAAGACAAAAAGAAAAGGAACAACAAAAGGAAAAAGAAAGCUUCAUACAACCCUUGGCACACAGCAGGUGCCCUGAUGACAUAGAACAGGAUGCGUACUGAAACCACAAGGCUAAAAUGAAGGGAGGCAUGAGGGAUGUGGAGGCCCAAGCCACUGAAGCCUGGUGGGUGCUGGCCAGACAUUCUCGGUGCCAUUCAAGUCCCUCCACGUGGUAACUUUCCCACAGCUGAGGGUCAACCAUGAGUGGCCAGCGCUCACAGUUGAUGAGGAUGGUGGCAUUCUCCACGGACAUGCGGUCGGCUGGGAGGCCCUCGUUCUGCCAGGCAGCCACGUCAGCAUCGUCCAUCAGCAUCCUCAGGGGAUCCAGGGUCGGGGUGACUGGAAUGGGGGUCUGGUGAAGAAGAAACGCCACCCCAUGCUCAGAACAGAAGCAGACAUUCUCAGCUGGGUGAAUGCACAGUUACUCACCAAAUGACACAACUCCUUUAAAAGCAAGAUCAACAUCCUGCUGAAGAAUGCUUUUCUGGCUGUGUGAUUAUUUCUGGAAGCAGGUUCUAUUAAAGUCCUGAUAGCUUUUU